ensembl:snoRNA F59A2.7 ncRNA
CCAUUAUUUUGGGCCAAAUUGUGUCUAAUUUCAUAGAUUAAAAAAACAUUUAUUUGGCCAAAAUUGAAUUUUUGGAAAUUAUUACGCACUAAAAUAC